rnacentral:rRNA from 1 species
UAUUGUGGCCAGACCUCCUGGUCAAAGCCUGAUCUCUUCAGAUCUCACAAGCUAAGCAGGGCUGGGCUUGGUUACUAUUUGGAUAGGAGAACACUGGGAAAAUCAGGUGCCACAGUGG